AUCUAUGGCCAUGCCACUCUGAACAUGCCCGAUCUUAUCUGAUUUCAGAAGCUAAGCAGGGUCGAGCCUGGUUAGUACUUACUUGGGAGACCACCUAGGAAUACCAGGUGCUGUAGGCA
rnacentral:rRNA from 1 species